GCUGAAGGACUGGCCGGGCUGGAUAGGUCGGCCGCCGAAUUCCUCAAUCAUGCAGACAUAUCCGCGCUGGUGGCACCAGGCUUCGGAGACGACCUGGGGGCUGAGGGUCAUGCCGGCGAGCCAAGGGCCCUGCUUUCCCGUUUUCGGGUCGCGCACGCGAUAGGCGCGGAUCAUUCGCUGAGGAAGCUUGUCUCGGCCGCGCGUGUAAUUGAAGCGCUCGUCGGGGGCGAAAUCGGUGAGGAAUGUGGAGGAGGGAAUCCGGCCAUGAUAGCUGAGGUAGAUCUCGGUAAAGGUGUCGCCCCUGUUGUGCUUAAUGUGGCCGG
rnacentral:misc_RNA from 1 species